rnacentral:rRNA from 1 species
UGGGGAAUUUUGCACAAUGGGGGCAACCCUGAUGCAGCGACGCCGCGUUAUUUAGAAGGCCUUCGGGUUGUAAAAAUCUUUUGUAUAGGAAGAAAAUGACAGUACUAUACGAAUAAGGUCCGGCUAAUUACGUGCCAGCAGCCGCGGUAAUACGUAAGGACCGAGCGUUGUCCGGAAUCAUUGGGCGUAAAGGGUACGUAGGCGGUUAAAAAAGUUAGAAGUGAAAGGCUAUAGCUCAACUAUAGUAAGCUUUUAAAACUGUUUAACUUGAGAGAUGGAAGGGAAAGUGGAAUUCCGAGUGUAGCGGUGAAAUGCGCAGAUAUUAGGAGGAAUACCGGUGGCGAAGGCGACUUUCUGGCCAUUAUCUGACGCUGAGGUACGAAAGCGUGGGUAGCAAACAGG